rnacentral:lncRNA from 1 species
CCGCACCUGCCUCCGCCGUCGCCGUCCGAGCUCCGCCUCCCCGCAGCACCGCUGCCGCCCCCGCCUCCUCUAUCGCCCUUGCUUCCGCCGGCCAUCACCACCACCACCCCCAUCCUCCCACUCCUUUGCUUCACACCAGGCCCUCGGGCCCAUCACACCAAAAUUCCCCCUCUUCUAAUCCAUCAGGCCUGUAGCCCUCCAUCGACCGCACUACUCGGGCCCAAAUUAUCAGGCCCACAACCAUCAAGCCCUUCACCAAUUCCUUCUCCCCCCUUAUUCAAUUUAAGGGCCCAACAGGCCUUUUCUUAUACAAACCCACACCAUUAGGCCCAAUAGGCCAUCAGGCCAAUUUCCUACAGACCCACCAAUUAAAUUGUCAAGUUUGUAAAUUGCUGAAGUCAUAUUCGAUUCGCCAAUUGGAGAGUCCAUCAACUGCAACCACGCCCCUGAUCGUCGCCCCAACCCAAGUCAGGUUCUUCUCUUGCUGGAAAUUCUAUUUGUUUCUCUAAAUUUAGUAUCAAUUAACUCUUAAGUGCUCUAUUGAUAUUACUCCUUGAAAAUUUCACAACAUCCACUACAGACAACACCAAAACCCUAGUAGUGGCCUAUCUUUGUUAUUAAUUAUAGAACUACCUAAUCUUUGGGAGUUCUUUGAGGCUCUGUGCAGUCCUGCAACACACUGAAAACUAGUACUAUUUGACUGCAACUACUUACCUGAAUUUGUUACGUAAUUUAAAGCCAAUUUCAAUUGCUAGAGUUAGCUUUUGAUUAUAUUGAGCAUAUACUUUGCAAUUUCAAAUUACUUUCAUGCAUCUACGUAGUGGUCGUGUCGCAUCUCAUUCUGAGUCCCAAUUAGAUAUGGAUUCCAAAAUC